rnacentral:tRNA from 1 species
GAUAGCGUAGCCAAGGGAUCUGAGGCGCUGGAUUUAGGCUCCAGUCUCUUUGGGGGCGUGGGUUUGAAACCCACCGCUGCCA